GAGGCAUGUGGCAUUAAACACAGCUGCCUUUGAGGGCCUGUGGGUAGGAGGCAAACGCCAUUAAUAUUUUUAGUACUGUUUCUUCUUUCCUCUUUCCAAAACCUAAUCUCCUUGAAGUUCAUACUACCAUAUUUUUCAACCUGCCACCCCUCCUUUUUCUCAUGAACUGACCUCCACCUCACCUCCUGCACCUUACUUUAUGACUUGAGCAUCCGUAAGCAUAAUCCAUGAGAUAUCUUAUUUUUUUCUUUAUUUUUAAUUGAAGUAUAGUUGAUUUACAAUGUUGUGUUAGUUUCUGGUGUACAGCAAAGUGAUUUAGUUAUACACAUAGGUAUUCUUUUUCAUUAGAUUUUAUUACAAGAUACUGAAUGUAGUUCCCUGUGCUAUACAGUAGGACCUUGUUGUUUAUUUUAUAUAUAGUAGUUUGUAUCUGCUAAUCCCAAACUCCUAGUUUAUCUCUCCACCCCUUUCCCUUUUGGUAACCAUGAGUUUGUUUUCUCUGUGAGUCUGUUUCUAUUGUAAAUAAGUUCAUUUGUAUCAUAUUUCAGAUUCCACAUACAAGUGAUAUUAUAUGGCAUUUGUCUUCCUCUAUCUGACUUACUUCACUUAGUAGGAUAAUCUCUAGGUCCAUCCAUAUUGCUGCUGCAAAUGACAUUAUUUUGUUCUUUUUUUUUUGGCCGUGCCACACAGCAUGCAAGAUCUUAGUUCCCUGACCAGGGAUCGAACCCGAGCCCCCUGCAGUGGAAGUGCAGAGUCUUAACCACUGGACUGCCAGGGAAGUCCCUUGUUUUUUUUGGUGGCUGAAUAAUAUUCCAGUGUGUGUGUGUGUGUGUGUGUGUGUGUGUGUGUGUGUGUGUACCAGAUCUUCUUUAUCCAUUCAUCUGUUGAUGGACAUUUAUGUUGCUUCCAUGUCUUGGCUUUUGUGAAUAGUGCUGCUACGAACAUUGGGGUGCGUGUAUCUUUUCAAAUUACAGUUUUCUCUGGAUAUAUGCCCAGGAGUGGGAUUGCUGGAUCAUGUGGUAAUUCUAGUUUUAGUUUUUGAAGGAACCUCCAUACUUUUUUCCAUAAUGGCUGCACCAAUUUACAUUACCACCAACAGUGUAGGAGGGUUCCCUUUCAUGAGAAAUCUUAUUGACUUCUCACUGAUUUCUUCCCCACCAUUGAGCCCCCCCGCCCCCAAAUACCCACUCCCAUGGUCUUAAAGCAGACUUAUUCUCACCAGGAAUUGCACUAUCUCAGAAAACACAAUCACAGAAUCUCAAAUCUGACUUUAACAUCUUUACUGCAGUAUCACACACAAGCAUUUCUUCAACCUCAUCCAGACCUGCAAAUCUUUUGACUCUGCCAGAUUUUUGCAUUUAUUUUCCCACUGGUGCUCACUUCCCUCCUCACCCACUCAGUCAUAAUCAAUAUACUCACUUCCUUGCAAAACCCCAUAACCCCUUUGCCCCUCUCUUUUCUUCUAGCUUGCCCAGCUCUAGUUAAACCUAGCUCUUCCCCUACUCUUUACCUGUCUCAGAAUAUCUGAAUAUUGCUGGAAAAUUAAAACUGGCAGAUGUCACUUUAAGUUGAUGUCCAUGAAUUUCAACUGAACCCUCAGUCCUGCCUAGCCUUCCUACUGUAUUUUCCUGCUGUAUUCAAUUCCCCACACUCUACAAGGAUGAUUUUUCAAUCGUCUUCCUUUGUCCCCUUCUCAUCCUUCACUCUAAGCAGAUGAGCUUGCCUCAUGCUUCACAGACAUGAUAGAGUCAGACAGGAACCCUCUCCUCUACCAAAAAUUCUGCAUCUUGCCCAGGUUUUCUGCCUUCCCUGCUUGCUUUUUUUAAUUGAAGUAUCGUUGGUUUACAAUAUUGUGUUAGUUUCAGAUGUACAGCAAAGUGAUUCACUUAUAUGUAUAUAUAUAUGCCUUUUUUUCAAUUCUUUUCCAUUAUAGGUUAUGAUAAGAUACUGAAUAUAGUUCCCUGUGCUUUUUUAAAAAUUUAUUUUAUUUACGUAUAGGUGAUUUUCAAUGUUGUGUUAAUUUCUGCUGUACAGCAAAGUGACUUCAUUGUACAUACAUAUACAUUCUUUUCCAUUAUGGUUCAUCACAGGCUAUUGAAUAUACUUCUAGUUCCUUACUCUGGAUUCCCUUCCUUAGUCACUCAUUUCUACCCCAUCCUGGAUCAUUCCCACCUGCUUUAAAAAAUGUCCCAAUAUUCUAAAAAAAUGUUUUUAACAACAAAAAUCUCUUUGAUCCCACAUCUCCCUCCAGCCACCUCCCCCAUUUAUUUGCUCCCCUUAGCAUCAAAACCUUGUGUGAGUUCUCUGCAGUGGCUGUUUCCACAUCAGCUCUGGUUUCUCCUUAAAUCAGUCUGGCUCGAGUUUCUGCCUCCACCUGUCGAUUUGGAAACUCCAUGUUGCAGAAGCCACUUCAGGGCCUUGUCUUACUGCUGACCUCUUGGUAUUAUUAUUUUUUUUAAUAUUUAUUUGGCUGUGCCAGGUCUUAGUUGUGGCACGUGGGACCUUCAUUGCCGUGUGCGGGAUCUUUAGUUGCGGCAUGCAGGAUCUUAGUUAGACGACCAGGUAUCGAACCCGGGCCCCCUGCACUGGGAGCGCGGAGUCUUAGCCACUGGACCACCAGGUAAGUCCCUGACCUCUUGACAUUAUUACAGUUGGCCGCUCUCCUCCUUGUUACACCUCUCUUGGGACUCAGGGUUCCUCUGAGUUCCCUUUGAUGCCUCCGCUUCCUUUGCUGAGGACUCAGUUCUGGGGUCCCUUCUUUUCUGUAUCUAAAUGCUCUUUUAGUCACUGUGGGUCUUCAGCACCUGGAACAUAAUAGGUGUUCAGUGAAGGUCUGUGAAAUAAGAUAAUAGCAUCCGCAUCAUAGGAUUAUUGCGUGAAAAGUGGACCAAGAAUGAAUAAUAAAGUAGUGGCAACUUUAAAUUGAGUGCUUACUAUGUGCUAAGCUCUUUUCUUGUAUUAUCUCACCGAGUCUUCCCAACAGUCCUUUGCACUAGGAAUUCCUAUUAUUACCAUUCUUUAGAAGAGGAAGUUGAAGCUUAGACAAAUGACUUGCCUAAGUUCACACAGAUAAUAAGUGGACAGGGAAUUCCCUGGCGGUCCAGUGGUUAGGACUCGGUGCUUUCACUGCCGAGGGCGCGGGUUCAAUCCCUGGUCAGGGAACUAAGAUCCUGCAAGCUUCAUGGCUCAGCCAAAAAAAUAAAAAUAAAAACCUUUAAAAAAAAAUACGUGGAUGAACCCAUCCUCACUUUGGUCUUUCUGACUCAAAGUCAAUUCUCAGAAUCACUAAAUUGAGAUCAUAUGCAGGAAAGUGCUUUGUAAACAGCAAAAGACGAUGUUACUACAGUACAUAGCAGCACACAGCAUGGCAACUUGCACAUAGUAGGUGCCCAUGAGUGUUUGCUGAGGCAGGGUGGGAGGAAGUCCCGCACCAAAUAGUACCAUCACCCGAGGAAGGAAGAAGCAAUCUUGAGGACCUCGGAGACUCAAGUCAACCUUCCACCAUACGCUGAAUCUUUUGUGAUGCUCAUCAGCUAAUUAUAAGACGCGUAAAGUGGGCAUUACCCAGACAUUUGCCCAACAUGGUUUCUAUCUUUCCUCCUUCAAUUAAGUCUCCACAGCUGGAACUGUUGGGUUAAUAAAAGCACAAUCAUUCCAGGGGUCUGGGGCUUGUUUAGCUCCUAAAUCACCUCUGAUUUUAACAGGCCAGAGCGUGCUCCCUGAGGUAGGGAUCUUCUCAGAUUACUAACAGUGGUUUUAGAUGUUUUACUGUGUGUCUGGAGAUAAGAACCCUAGAAUUAGCCAACUUUUGACCCCUCACUACAUUGAAUUCUACAGACAAGGGGUUUAAACCAUAUCUGUUUUUAAAAAUUUUAUUGAAGUAUAGUUGAUUUACUUUUUUUCUUUUUUAAAUUUUAUUGACCAUAUUCCUUGAACAUUCUACCUCCAUAUACUAAAGUUCUAGUGGGAUUCAAUGUAAGGAUCUUCAUUAGGAAGAGUACCAGGAGGGAAGAUACGUCACCUGGUAAUUCCAUCUUCCCCAUCUUCAGCCGGGUUAGUGGUCUUUUCUACAACUUAACCCUUCCUCAUUCUCAGAUGUUUAGUUUGCGUGGAGUUGAGCCCACCCCCAGCUCCUGAGGACAGGAUCCUGAUUGACUGAAGCCAAAGUGUGGCCUUGGUUUGAGGAUAGGCCCUUGACCUAAUUUGGGCCACAGUGCUCCCUGUAGAACACUAAUUAAACUCUGCCUAAAGGGGGAUGGUCCAUCAGGUAAAUGUGGGAAAUGCAGUAAACAAUAUUCCUACUCGGGGAUUCUGUUUUUUUCAGGAACCUCAAUUAUCCCAUCUCUCCCCAGAUUGUUGAAUUACUCCCUCUCAACUAGAUGAUUACUGUGGUUUUAAACAUGCAUAAGUGUCUCAUAUGUUAAAAAAAAAAAAAGGAAGAAAGAGAAAGAAGGAAAAAGCCUACAUGGAUCCCUCUAGCCCACCACCCUAUCUCCUGUCUUUCUCAGCUACAGAAUUGUCAGUAUUUCCUCUCUCCACUUCUACUCCCCCUUCUAUUCCAUCCCUCCUCCACAGAAAUGACCCUCAGGUCACCCCUACCUCCAUGUCGAAAAGCGCAUGGACGUUUUUCAAUCGUCAGCUCCUUUGACUCCCCAGGAGUACUUGACACUAUUGGUCACUUCUUCCUCCUUAAAGCACUCUGGUCCACGGGCUUCCAUGACAUCGCGUGACUCUCCUGGUCUCAGUCCUACCUCUCUGACUGCUCCUUCUCCGUUCUUUGCAGACUUAUCCUCUUCUACGCAACCCCUAAAUGAUGGGGUUCUCUCCUCCUCUGACUUUGCGGCUUCUCCUUAGACAAUUUCAUCCACGCUCAUGGCCUCAGUUACCAGCAGGCCUCAGUCACGUCCCCACUCCUGGAGCUGGCAGGGAUGGGGACCCCGUAAUGGGGGAGGGGAGCUGUUUCCCACGUAAUGGGGAGGGGAAGCAGGGUACUAUUCACAAAAGAAGGAGAAAGAGAGGCUGAAGAGCAGAAAAAAAACAGAUGGUUACUACAAGCAUGCAUUCUGGGUAAGCUCAUGCAAAUUAUCAAAACAGGCUCCUUUUGGGUCUCAGAAAUUUCUCAUCAUUGGAACCCUAAGCAGGACUGAGUACAGGCCCCCAAAAUGGUGAUUUCCUCUGUAGACAGAACACUGUGUGGUUUGCAAAGGAGGCAGCCUCGGCUAGACCACUAAGAUCAACUUUUCCCACCCGCAGCAUCCUGAAAGAACACGUAGCAAGAAGGUGGAGGGAGACAGACCACUAGCACUCCACUUCUUUUAAACACACCCCAUAGAGACACAUAUGUAGAGAACAAACGUAAGGACACCAAGGGGGGAAAGUGGCAGGGCGGUGGUGUGAUGAAUUGGGAGAUUGGGAUUGACAUAUAUACACUAAUAUGUAUAAAAUGGAUAACUAAUAAGAACCUGCUAUAUAAAAUAAAUAAAUAAAAUUCUAAAAUUCAAAAAACAAACAAAAACACACCCCAAAGUCAUCAGUGCCAAGGGGAUGCUUUGUCUCAGGUUAGACAUCAUCCUCUCAGGGCUUUUGUUUUUGCUUUUUUUUUUUUUUUUUUAAUUAAUUAAUUUAUUUUUAGUUUGGGCUGCAUUGGGUCUUCGUUGCUGCGCACAGGCUUUCUCUAGUUGCGGCGAGCGGGGGCUACUCUUCGUUGCAGCGCACGGGCUUCUCAUUUCGGUGGCUUCUCAUGUUGCGGAGCAGGGGCUCUAGGCGCGUGGGCUUCAGUCGUUGUGGCUCGCAGGCUCUAGAACGCAGGCUCAGUAGUUGUGGCACGUGGGCUUAGUUGCUCCGUGGCACGUGGGAUCUUCCCGGACCAAGGUUCGAAUCCCUGUCCCUUGCAUUGGCAGGCGGAUUCUUAACCACUGUGCCACCAGGGAAGUCCUGUUUUUGCUUUUCUAAUAGGUACCUGGGAGAACUCACAGCUGCCUUCUGCUGGACUAGAAGUAUUUGUAUCCUGACCAUCUGCGAGGUCUUGCUCAGAGUUAGAGAACAGCUUCUCAAAUGUGGGCCAGCUGUUGGAGCUUUAAUAUGCAUAUUUGGGAGAAGUCAUAUUUAGUUUAUUAUGCCGGCUGACCAGCUGCCCGCUAGGCUUGGGAUGACCUCUACAAUGCAUCUAAGGCUAACCCUUCAGACUCAGAAGAAUGGUCACCUCCUUCUUCAUGCCGUAUUUUCUGCCUGUCCCCUCAAAAGCUGAGUUUGGGGCUUCUUUCUUUGUGUUUCCGUGGAAAUGCUGUACUAGGUACACCUUUUCACUUGUAAUUUGCCCCUACGGUUCUCUGGGCUCCUUGAGGCAGGGACCAUGAGUCACAUCACAAACAAUUAGGACAGAGCUGGAAUAUGGUGCCCUAUGAAUGAAGCCCAUUGUUCUCUGCAUCUGUGUCUCUAUUUCUGCCCUGCAAACCGGUUCAUCUGUACCAUUUUUCUAGGUUCCACAUAUAUGCGUUAAUAUACGAUAUUUGUUUUUCUCUUUCUGACUUAACUUCACUCUGUAUGACAGUCUCUAGAUCCAUCCACGUCUCUACAAAUGACCCAAUUUCGUUCCUUUUUAUGGCUGAGUAAUAUUCCAUUGUAUAUAUGUACCACAUCUUCUUUAUCCAUUCGUCUGUCGAUGGGCAUUUAGGUUGCUUCCAUGUCCUGGCUAUUGUAAAUAGUGCUGCAAUGAACAUUGUGGUACAUGACUCUUUUUAAAUUAUGGUUUUCUCUGGGUAUAUGCCCAGUAGUGGGAUUGCUGGGUCAUAUGGUAAUUCUAUUUUUAGCUUUUUAAGGAACCUCCGUACUGUUCUCCAUAGUGGCUGUUACAAUUUACACUCCCACCAACAGUGUAGGAGGGUUCCCUUUUCUCCACACCCUCUCCAGCAUUUACUGUUUGUAGGUUUUUUAAUGAUGGCCAUUCUGACCUGUGUGAGGUGAUACCUCAUUGUAGUUUUGAUUGACGUUUCUCUAAUUAGUGAUGUUGAGCAUCUUUUCAUGUGCUUUUUGGCCAUCUGUAUGUCUUCUUUGGAGAAAUAUCUAUUUAGAUCUUCUGCCCAUUUCUUGAUUGGGUUAUUUUUUUUUUGAUAUUGAGCUGCAUGAGAAGUUUGUAUAUUUUGGAGAUUAAUCUCUUGUCGGUUGCUUAAUUUGAAAAUAUUUUUUCCCAUUCUGAGGGUUGUUUUUUUGUUUUGUUUAUGGUUUCCUUUACUGUGCAAAAGUUUUGAGUUUAAUUGGAUCCCAUUUGUUUAUUUUUGUUUUUAUUUUCAUUCAGCUUUAUUUUUUGUUCAAGUGAACCAUUGGAGUGCAGAGCAUACGAGGACCUUGUUGAGGCUGUUAACGCCUCGGACCAGGCUAGACAUGGUGACCUAUUUAUCUAGGGCAAUCAAUGCCACUGUAGUCAGAAAGACUCCAUAUUUGGGCCAGAAAGGAAAGCAAAGGCCAAAGGCAGAGGAGUGAUGGCAAGUAUUCAGUCUGGUAGGUAAAGUGACUAAGUGGAGAAAAUGAACCACCAAGUCUAAAGGUAGGCACACUGAGAGCCAAAUGCACAGGGGAAAAGUGCAGGGCAUGGUGGGACGGGUGGUUCAGCACAGAGCAAUGCCAGUCGUGAUGGGACCCAUUUCUAAUAUUCAUCGUGCUACCUUCUUUAUAGCUUAAAACUGCCAGAUAGGAUCAGACAUACUUGGCCUAAGAUCCUGUAAGAUCUGGCCCAGUUUAAAACCUGUAUGAGAAAACUCUGAUAACCAAAGAUAUCUCUCUGUCAGGCAGCAUUGCCUGGACAACUGGCAUGGCAGUUCUGUUAGGCUUUAUCUUGAUGGCCUUUUGUUCUCUGCCCCACACUACUCGUGAUUGUUACAGGUAUGUAGCACUGCCAAGCUACAGGGUCACCUUUUCCAUUUCCUCUUCCUGGGCUCAAGCACUGUCUACAUUUCCUAGCCUCCCUUGAGUUAGGUUGUGGUCAUGUGAUGGUGCUGUGACGAAUGGAAUGUGGGAGGAAGUGAAAUGGGCCACCUCCAGGUAUGACCAUCAAAUGCCCCUUGGGACCUACCCCGUACUCUCCCUCUCUCUCUGUUCAUCAGCCAGCCGAAUGCAGAGGCUCCAAGUUGGAGGAAGCCUGUAUUCUGUUCAGGAGAGUCUACUGAAAACAUCCAGUCAGACUGUAUCUUAGGGGGAAAAUAAACCUUUGCUGUAAGCCACUAAGCACUGAAGGUUGUUUCAGCAGCUAGCACUCCCCUGACUAAUACAGGUCUAAAAAGCUACCCACGAUAGCUUCCAACAUAGCAGGAAAUGAUUGGGAUGAUAAUAUUGAAGCAGGAUUUCCAUGAAUGUGUUAAGGUUCCACAGGUACCUCAAGGUGGAGCCAGUGAAGAUGGACAAAGGUCACAUCACUACAGAAAGGUGAGCCAGGAUUUGACUGGAGUUUUGUCUGAUCCAAAAAGCCUAUCCUUUUUUUCACUUCUCCACAUUACCCCAAACAAGGAGGUGUUUAGAUGUUUUGAGUGAUGAUCAUAAUGAUGACAGACUCUAGGAUUCUGUGUAAUUUACUCCCUGGCAUAUUUGUGCUACAUACUCCUGCAGCACGUCUACCGCUUCCCACAAGCCAGUGAGGUUGGAUACAAUGACAUCCUGUAAUCUUCAUUUUUAUAUUGACAUCGUGCCCAGGUACUCAGAGGAGGGUAGCUAAAAUUAUUAUUUUCUCCAGCCUGCAACCUAAAUGUUUACCAGUCUGGUAGAAGCCUUUGGGGACCAUGCCAUAGAGGUAUGUAGGUCUUCCUUCUCCUUGUACUCCUUCCUUCCUGUCCCACCCAUUCCAGUCAUAAGCUGGGCUCCACGCCUCUUCUAGCUGAAUAAUUGCAUCUUCUAUCUCUCUGCAAUGGUGAGAGAGCAGGUGACUGAACCUCCAUAUUCUAGUUUCCACAUCUGUAAAAUGGGUGUAUGAUACCUACCGUGUACAAUUGUCAUGAGGUUUAAAUAAGACAGGCAGUAAAUUGGUGGCAUAUCAUGUGCUCUUUGAGUUUAUGGAUGGUCCCCUCCCCUGCCCCCAACAAUCCUCACUGCUGUUACGGAACAUCAGACGGUUCUUGGUAUUUCGUAAAUACAUUUGCCGGUCUUACUACAUUGUGUGUGUGUUUUAUGCCUGGUUAUGUCAGCCUUGUAUAUUUUUGACCUUAAACUCUAAAUAGGCAGAAAACCCAUGGUUGCUAAAUAUUUAUCGGUCCCAGGUACCAUACAAUUCAUUCAUUAUCUUCAACCACAAUAAGAGAUCAUUGAGCACUUUCUAUCUUAUGAGCUUUAUGUAAGGAGGCUCCUGGAAUAAGAGUCUGUUUCUGCCCACAAAAUCCAUCAGAGGUGAUUUUAAAUAUGUAAAUAUGUAAAUAUUUAUUUAUUUAUUUGGCUGCGCCGGGUCUUAGUUGCAGCACGCGGGAUCUUCAUUGCUGCGUGCAGGAUCUAGUUCCCUGACCAGGGAUGGAAGCCAGGCCCCCUGCAUUGGGAGUGCAGAGUCUUAACCACUGGAGCACCAGGGAAGUCCCCAGAGGUGAUUUUAAAGGCACAGUGGCUUAUUCUUCUUCAAAAUAGCUUUUUAAACCUCUGACUACGGAAAUACAUGCUCAUUGUAAAAAUUAUAGAUACAACACCAAAACCAGAAAAUUAUCCAAGGAAUAAUCACUGCCAUCUUUUUAGAACCUAUCCUUCUAAUCUUUUUCCUUUCCAUAUACAUACAUGUUUUACAAAAAUGGGAUCAUACUGCAUGCACAUUCUUGUUACCUGUCUUUUCUUACCUGAGAACAUAUCAUGAAUGUUUUACAUGUAUUAAAGAUUCUCCUGUGGCACAAUUUAUAAUUCUAGUUUAGUAUCCAUCGUAUGGAUAGAUGGUGAUUUUUUUAAAGCAAUCCCUUUGUAUUGUACAGUUUGGUUAUUUCCAUUCUUCCACCAUUAUUAGCAACAAACGUCUUCAUAUGUAUUCCUCUGCUCACAUCCCUAAUUAUUUUCUUAGAACCCACAAGUAGAAGUUUGCUUCACAGAAAGAGCACACUAUCCAGGCUUUUCCUAACCAUUGCCAAGUUUUCUAUUAGAAAAGUCCUACAGGGGCUUCCCUGGUGGCGCAGUGGUCGAGAAUCUGCCUGCUAAUGCAGGGGACACGGGUUCGCGCCCUGGUCUGGGAGGAUCCCACAUGCCGCGGAGCAACUAGGCCCGUGAGCCACAACUACUGAGCCUGCGCGUCUGGAGCCUGUGCUCCGCAACAAGAGAGGCCACAAUAGUGAGAGGCCCGCGCACCGCGAUGAAGAGUAGCCCCCGCUUGCCGCAACUACAGGAAGCCCUAGCACAGAAACGAAGACCCAACAUAGCAAUCAAUCAAUCAAUAAAUAAAUUAAAAAAAAAAAAAAAAAAGAAAAGUCCUACAAAUUCACACUCCCACCAGCAAUGUAUGAGAAUGCUACAAUAAAGGCUGUUGGCCAAGAUGAUGGUUAUGAAAAAAAUAAUCAAGAAGAUAAGUAUUUGCUAAAGGCUCUCCCCACGCCGGCUGUGUUUAUUUGUUGAACUCUAUAGCCAUGUUCCUUGGACCAAACACUGAAGGUUCUUUAGACUUUUAGUUUAUUUAGUGCCUCUUUCAAUACUCUGAAACUUUGACCCAAGUUUUAUCUGAAGAAAAGGAGAUUUCUGGUAAAUAUGGUUUCCAGUUUGGAAACUCAGCCCAAAUACUUCCAUCCCUCAUCUCAGCAUGGACCACCUCUGUGGUUUUAACUGCUGGGAAUCAGUUAGAAAGUGCUGCUGCUGACUUGGAGCUGAGAAAAGUGCUUAAAAGAAAUGAAAGAGCUGGUCUAGGGUGAAAAAGUCAUGUUCCAAGGUACAAAGGAAAACCAAUAACAACCCAAGGGUUUGGAGUUUCAUUUGACCUGCUCUGAUAAUAUCACUAUGGUGAUGGUCUCCAUAAACAGUUGCAAAAUAGCAAGAUGAAAAAGAACGAGCAAGUUCCACCCAGGCGAUCUGGAGUUAUUUUAGGGAUCAAGGCAAUGUCAUCUGGGGUAAAUAUGGAAUGCAAGGUCUGUUCUUUUAAUAAUCAUCCCCUUCUUUUGUGAGGCUGAACAAAAGCCUGGCACGUCAGACGUUUGGGCUGAAAGCAGCACUGACCUAGUGUCUUCGGGGCUCAGGAGAAAGCACAGCCAAAGGAAUGGAAAUAAUGGUUCAUAACACAUGCUGGGAUGAUUCUUCUCACACCCUUGGCCUCUGAGACUGCUGAGCCUGAUGUAGAGUCCAAGGGUGGAACAAGGGUGAUGUUCUCGGGAAGGGCUGGCCUGGUUGAGAGGCUGGGAUGGGGACCCCAGGGAACUGAGCUUGGUUGUCUGCCCCUGACCUUGAUUCCUGGGCCAGAGGGGGUGGAGGGAAGCAUCUUCAAGACCACAAAUCUGUCUCUGGGGCAUUACCAUCUGCUGCAGAUGACAACUGCCACUCCCAUCCUCAUGCUCUUCUCUUUGAACCCCUGACUCAGCCAGCCUCAGUCCGAAAAGCAGAACUAGCUAUUUUUUGAACUAAAACAAAAAAAAAAGUCAGGCAAUACAGUUGCUGAACUCCUUCCUGACCCUGAAACUCUUACUCUUUGCACUUAACCCCUUGCUCUCCCCUUAUUCUUUUCGCUUCCUUCUCUUCCAGACUCCUAGAUUGCAAGCUCCACCAUCAUCUCUAGCGAAGAUCUUCAAAGGAAAGGGUUGUUCUGCGGCCACGGAGGCUGGAACAAUGCCUGGCACACAGAAGGUUCUCCAUAAGUGUCAGCUGAUAGGAACUGAAUCCAAAACCCCGUGCCUACCCUGCCGUGGACAUUUCUCCAGCAGAACUUAUCAUCACAGGGCAUAUUAUACACUUGUUUGUUUGUUUGGCUGUGACACGCGGCAUGCGGGAUCUUAGUUCCCCGACCAGGGAUCGAACCGGUGCCCCCUGCAGUGGAAGCGCGGGACCCUAACCACUGGACUACCAGCUCAGGGUCUGGAGUGUCCACACCCCGCAGGGGCUUCUCUGAGAGGCCAGCUGGCUGACAGCCUCGGCAGAGAAACACCUCUUCAGGCCCACGGCAUCUCCACAGCAGCCUUGGGAAAGAUGCUGAUGAGUUCUUCCACCAACCAGGGGAAAGCCACGCUUAUAAAAGCUUCCAGGCCUCAGCGAUAAUUUCUCCCCUUUCCACACCCCUCCCCGCUCCUCUGGGCCCUUUCCCAUCUUAGCUCUGUUUCUGCAGGAAGCAGGACAGAAAGGACUUGGUUUGAUGCAAGUGAAGGAGAGAGAGCACAGACUUGGAACUCUCAAAACAAGUUUGGACAAGUCACUCAACCUCUCAGCCUCAGACAAAUAACAGGAACAGACAAUUAAAGUAGGAAUAAUACUUGUGACCAUUAUUAGUAGUAGAAGUGUAAGGGCUUUGGGGUCAGAGUCCUUAGGGUCAAAUCAUGGAUUCUACCUCUUGACGGUACCUGACUUCACUCCAAGUCUAAGUUUCUCAUUUGUGAAAUGGGGAACAAUAAUAGUACCUCAAAGGGUUAUUGGGAUGAUUAAAUGAGAUAAUUAGAUCUAAAGCUCUCUGCAGCAAGGGCACACAGUAAGUGCUCUAUAAAGGUCAGCAACGGUCACUUUAAUUAUAAUUGUGCCUCUUCAUGAGCCCUAUAACAUAUAGUCCAGAUUCCCAACUACACACAGUAGGUGUUAAUGGGUAGCUGUGGAAUGAAUAGAUGAAUGAAUGGAUGGACGAAUGAACAAACUCGCCAUCACUUUUGGUCUGGGACUCUUCUUCAUGCCUAAUCCCCUUUGACCUAAAUGCAAUAGAAAUUUUAGCAGCUUCAAGACUUUCAGUCUUCUUGUUUUUUCGUGACUGGAUGAGGCAGUUUAAAAUAUGUCUGCAACUCUGACACUCCCUUCAGAAGGUGGACCCUAAUUCCCCUCCUUGACUAUGAACUGAACUUAGUGCCUUGCUUCUAACAAAUAGAAUAAAGUAGAAGUGACAGUGCGCAACUUUUAAGACCAGAUCAUAAAAAUCAUGGAGGUCUCCCUCUUGGAUCGCUUGCUCUGGGGGAAGACAGCUGCCAUGUCAUAAGCAUGCUCAAGCAGCUCUGCGGAGGGGUACAUGUGAUAAGGAACUGAGGCCUCUUGCCAACAGCCAUGUGAGUGAGCCAUCACGGAAGCAGAUCCCCUGUCCCCAGUUGAGCCUUCAGAUGAUGCAGCCCCAGUCAAAGAUUUGACUGCGUCCUCAUCAGAGACUCUGAGCAAGGACCACCCAUCUGAGCCUCUUCCAAUUUCCUGACCCAGAAAAACCAUGAGAUCAUAAGUGCUGGGGUUUUUUUUAAAAAUAUAUUUAUUUAUUUAUUUGGCUGCAUCGGGUCUUAGUUGCAGCACACAGGAUCUUCAUUGUGGCGUGCUGGAUCUUUAGUUGUGGCGUGUGAACUCUUAGUUGUGGAAUGAGGCAUCUAGUUCCCUGACCAGGGAUCAAACCCGGGCCCCCUGCAUUGGGAGCACAGAGUCUUAGCUACUGGACCACCAGGGAAGUCCCAAUAAGUGCCAUUUUAAGUGGCUAUGUUUGGGGAUAAUUUGUUACAAAGCAACAGAUAAUAAUAUACUUUGUAUGAAUAUUCUUGAUAAAAGUUUGAAACAAAGGCUUUUCUAAUAAUACUUGGCUCAUGGAGACUUCUGACUGUUCAUUCUACAUAGUGUUUUAACACUAUUCAGAAAGCCUGAACCCACACUUUUCUUGUGACAUUACUAUUACUAGACCAUGCCUGUUAACUAAUUAAGGACCCUUCCCUGCCUGGGAUCUCAAGUGGGCUGCAUCCUGACAUCUGUUGUACACCAGCCCUCAGUGGGAUUGGCACCACUGGAUCCCUGGCUGGGAAGGAAGAGUCAGACUCAGGGAUAAGCAGGCUUCUGUCCUGUCAGUAGCUCAUAUUUGAAAGCAUCAUAUUAUCAAUUUCAGGAGGGUCCAUCUCAGAGAGACUAUUUCCUUACUGACAGCUCCCAUGCUGUUUUAACAGCAGCUAAUCCCUUCACCUUAUUUGGAGACAACUUCAGAACCCUUUCCCUGGCUAGCCAAGUCUCGGCACUUGCUGGAGAGAACUGUCAGAGGCCUUUGCAUCUGGGAAGUCUCUGCCUAAUGUGGAAAAGAUCCUGGAAAGAGUGUCUGUGACUGAUCAGGUUGAGGGCUCAGGGCUGAUAAAGACAAGCCAGCUCUUCUUCUCUCACCAUGAGGAUGUUAGCAGUAGAGCUGUCCUGAGGGCAUGGUCAGUGUGGCUAUGGCAGUCAAGUUCAACAGUCUUUUACUGAGCAACUGCUAUGUGCCACUCACUGUAGACAAGACCAGGACACAAAGAUGAGUAGACAAGGUCCUUGCCCUCAAAGAAUUCACGGUCUAGUUGGGAAGACAGGCAAACCAGUGAAUAAUUUCAACUCAGAGCAGUAAGCAGAGGUUGAUCUGCAUACCAGGUGAACUGGGAGCAGGAGAGAGCAAGGAAGGGUUCGCUCCUUGGACAUGGAGAGGUUAGGACAGAUUCAAGGAAUACCAAGGAAGUAUGAUCAGCCAUGAGCCAAGUAGAGGGGAGAAAAUCGUAUGUUAAGGACUCUGAAGGCUAGGGCAAGGAUUCCUCUGACUUCUUGGUCUUAGCUUCUGAGGGCUGGCAGGAUUUAAUUUAUCCCCUUCCAAUCUCUCUUAGAGUCUAACUGGAUCAUUAACCAUGAAAUCAAAUUUGAAAUUUAAAGGAAGAUCUCCUAAAAAGAGGUAAAAGUAAACUUACACCUGGAUUUUAGCAAGGAUCCUGAGACAAGGGUUGAGUGCAGAUUUCUUAUCAAAUCUGGAAUCUGUUUACUUUGACCAUCUGCAUUGCCCUCAUGCUUGGACUGUUGCAGUAGCCACCUAACUCAUCUCCCCAUUUCUACUCCCUAUCCUAAGUCCAGGCCCUCAUGGCAGCUACAGUGAUCCUUUAAAAUUUUCAGGGACUUUUUCAGGGGGCACGGGUUCAAUCUCUGGUCAGGGAACUAAGA